UGGGGAAUAUUGGACAAUGGGCGCAAGCCUGAUCCAGCAAUGCCGCGUGGGUGAAGAAGGUCUUCGGAUUGUAAAGCCCUUUUGGCAGGGACGAUGAUGACGGUACCUGCAGAAUAAGCUCCGGCUAACUUCGUGCCAGCAGCCGCGGUAAUACGAAGGGGGCUAGCGUUGCUCGGAAUGACUGGGCGUAAAGGGCGCGUAGGCGGUUUGAACAGUUAGGUGUGAAAUCCCCGGGCUUAACCCGGGAACUGCACUUAAUACACUCAGACUGGAGUCAUGGAGAGGAUUACGGAAUUCCCAGUGUAGAGGUGAAAUUCGUAGAUAUUGGGAAGAACACCGGAAGCGAAGGCGGUAAUCUGGCCAUUGACUGACGCUGAGGCGCGAAAGCGUGGGGAGCAAACA
rnacentral:rRNA from 1 species